UUUGAUGCCUGAGUAAUAAAUUCUUAGGUCAAGAUCCUGUCACCUUAGGUCGAUCGGUACCUCAGUUUUUUUCAAUGAAUUGCUGAAUAAAUUCAGUUAUCUAAUUGGAAACAAAUUUAGUUCCUAAACUUUGUCUAGGUCACACCCCGCAAGGGUUGCUCCUGGGCCAUUAGCUCAGGUGGUUAGAGCGCACCCCUGAUAAGGGUGAGGUCCCUGGUUCAAGUCCAGGAUGGCCCAUUCGGUUCUGGGGGUUUAGCUCAGUUGGUAGAGCGCCUGCUUUGCAAGCAGGAUGUCAGCGGUUCGAGUCCGCUAACCUCCACUGGCCGACUUCCUGAAGGUCACAAAGUGAGUACCUUUGUUGAAUGUGUGAUUUAGAUUUUUAGCUGAAGUUGAACCUAGCUUCUUCUCAAUUAGCCCCAGAAAAGGGCUUCUUUUGAAAAGACGCUGGGCUCACUGUGAUUUAUUUUUUAAACCACAGAAAAGUUCAGCAGAACCUUGACAACUGCAUAGAUGAGUCUGGAAAGAAUAAAGCAUCUCAUAGAUGCAUUUUCAGUUUAGGAAUUUUAGAAAAACUAAUUGAUUAGUUUUUCAGCUUAAUUCCAUUGAAGAUGUAUAUUCUUGAGUCAAGAGCCGAGAUUCUGCAAUG
rnacentral:tRNA from 1 species